rnacentral:lncRNA from 1 species
ACCCCCUGCCAGGGGGCUGUGGAGAGCCACAAGGUCCCCCCUGGGCAUGUACAUUUUUGGGGUUUACUUCAGAGACUGAGCUCCAGAGGACAGUUUCUACAGAAAGGACAGGCACAUCAUGAGGAUGUGAUCCCACUAUUAGCCUCGCUGCAGCCUGACAGAAAUACCAGCUGGAAAGCACCUGGAAAGGCAUUUUUGUGAUUUUUGAACCAUGCAGAGGCCUGGGAGAGCUUCUCCAAGGGACUCUGAGGGCUGAUGGAUAUUUUACACUUAGGGGAGCAGACUGUCCUCCCUAAAAUUCACACUAAGCA